UCACGGCGGCCCGCGGCAGCCGCCGGGUAGCGGAUCCGACAGUCGAACGGGGAGCGGGCACGUCGCGGGCCCGCUCCUCGCCCCCUUCCCCGGGAACCGUGGGCCACCCCUCGCACCCAUGCCCCCUCCCCGGCCCCCUCCGCUUCUGCCAAGUGGAAUAAACUCCCGGGUUUCCGGCAAAUAUUCACCCUUCCGACACCGAACGGGAGGCCGCCCCCCUCCCGGCCGGCUCCCCUGUCGGAGGCGGGCCGGGGUCCGUCCCCGCGGCCGGCAGCGCUCCCGGCGGCACCCGCCCCCAACUCCCCAUGCUUAUGUAACAGCUCUCAAGAGGAAGCUGCUAACAAGUCCAUCUGAUUGUUUGUGCCAGCUGUUUUAGUGGAGGCAUGCUGAGUGCAACUGAGCUCCACCUUCAUUUUUGGGAACUCUUAUUAAAAACAAGAGUUGCAGGUGGAACACUUGUGGUUCCUGCCUUCUGCACACUGAGUAUUUUUACUGCAGUGUAUGUAAUCUCCAUGAGUAGAAACACAGUGGCAGUUGUUCACUGCAUUUAGCAGUGUUUCUCCAUUAUAUGCUUGUUAAAAGAGGUGAGAUAUCUGGAAAAAAAUUAGACUUUGUGUGAAAAAAAAAAGCAACUAACCAAUAAGCUACCUAGAAAGCAUCCAGCCUGGAUCUCAGCUGCAAAGGAGAAAGUUUUUGUGUCAGUCUUGCCUGGAGUGCUGGCCUUGCUGGACUCAAAGCACUUGCCAUCCAGUGGAUUAAAGCUGAGACCCAAGACACCAGAGAGGUCUCCAUUUAGUUGAUUUUGGAAAGUACGAAGUAUUUGAGAGGAUUAGAGGUGACAGAAGAAGAGGAAUUCAGAGCAUGUAUUGAGUAAGGGAUGUUGACUGUGGAGGGAGAUUUUGGAGCUUGUUGUGUUUAUGGACAACUGCAUUGCAGAGUUCAUUUGAAUGCUCUGGGAUUCAUAAACUUGUGUAGCCUGGAAGGCAGGGCCCAUUGGAAUGAGUCAGAAUUUCACUGCAAAUGAUUUACCCAGCUUUAAGAUCUGCUUGCUUCUGUGGAGGAAGGCUUUGCACCAAGUGCAGAACUGGGUGACAAUGUGGAAAGAUCUGCUGCAGCUUUCUGCUCUUCCAGCUGAACCUUUCUGCUCUGGUUCUUCUCCCAAGUCUGCCUGCUUUGUGCUGCAUCAGUGGAAAACUGAAAGUCUGAGAGUUAUUCUGUGUGAGGCAUCCCUGUGAAAGGGAAGCAGUGCCAUUUCCGUUCGUUUGGUAGAAGGCCAGCAGUGAGAGACAAGCAGAAGCUGACUGUGUCUGUGGCAGUUUUGGAGGUUCCAGCUUGAUUCCAGGCCAGGCCAGUAGUGAAAGUCUUUUAGAGCUGGUGAGGAGCCUGGAGAGAAGACAAGUUCCUGAUGAAGAACCCUCUUCUUGGCUUCUUCUGGGCCCAAAGAGGAUCCAAAAGGCAAACACAGCAAGAGUAACCUUUCAGUAAUGCUACUUCAAAGAAAUGCAGUAGGGCAGGGACAAGUUUGAAUCUCAGAGGCAUCAUUGCUUGACUAAAGGAGAACAUACAGAAAUCAAAAGG